UACAGAGGUCCCGAGCGUUGUUCGGAUUCAUUGGGCGUAAAGGGUGCGUAGGCGGCUUUCUAAGUCUGAUGUGAAAUCCUGGGGCUCAACCCUGGAACUGCAUUGGAUACUGUCGGACUAGAGUACGGAAGAGGCGAGUGGAAUUCCCGGUGUAGCGGUGAAAUGCGCAGAUAUCGGGAGGAACACCAAUUGCGAAGGCAGCUCGCUGGGACGUUACUGACGCUGAGACGCGAAAGCGUGGGGAGCAAACAGG
rnacentral:rRNA from 1 species